UAAUUUCGGUGGUGGAUCACUUGGCUCAUGCGUCGAUAAAGAACACAGCUAGCUGCGAUAAUUAAUGUAACCUGCCAGGCACACUGAUCAUCGACACUUCGAUCGCACUUGGCGGCCCUGAGUGUUCCCAGGGCCACAUCUGUCUGACGGAUG